rnacentral:rRNA from 1 species
GAUGAACGCUAGCGGCAGGCCUAACACAUGCAAGUCGAGGGGUAACAGAAGAAAGCUUGCUUUCUUGCUGACGACCGGCGAACGGGUGCGUAACGCGUAUGCAAUCUACCCUUAACUAAAGAAUAGCCCCGAGAAAUCGGGAUUAAUACUUUAUAACACUAAAGAGUGGCAUCACUCAAUAGUUAAAGCUCCGGCGGUUAAGGAUGAGCAUGCGUCUGAUUAGUUUGUUGGUGAGGUAACGGCUCACCAAGACCACGAUCAGUAGGGGUUCUGAGAGGAUGAUCCCCCACACUGGUACUGAGACACGGACCAGACUCCUACGGGAGGCAGCAGUGAGGAAUAUUGGUCAAUGGACGAAAGUCUGAACCAGCCAUGCCGCGUGCAGGAAGAAUGCCCUACGGGUUGUAAACUGCUUUUAUAUAGGAAGAAACCCUCCCACGUGUGGGAGGCUGACGGUACUAUAAGAAUAAGCACCGGCUAACUCCG